UACGUGAGGAUGCGAGCGUUUGUCCGGAAUUAUUGGGCGUAAAGAGCUCGUAGGCGGCUUUGUCACGUCGGUUUGUGAAAAGCCCCGGGGGCUUAACCCCCGGGGUCUGCAGUCGAUACGGGCAGGCUAGAGUGUGGUAGGGGGAGAUCGGAAUUCCUGGUGUAGCGGUGAAAAUGCGCAGAUAUCAGGAGGAACACCGGUGGCGAAGGCGGAUCUCUGGGCCAUUACUGACGCUGAGGAGCGAAAGGCGUGGGGAGCGAACAGGAUUAGACUA
rnacentral:rRNA from 1 species